rnacentral:rRNA from 1 species
GCACUUGGAGGAUGUAAGUAACAACUGAUAACAUAUCAGGUUAUUUCGACUUUGUCAUGUAAAAUUCUAAGUAUGAUACUGAUGAUGACAUGUCAUACUUACAAGUCUUGACCAAAUCACGUGCCAGCAGUCGCGGUAAUACGUGGAAGACUAGUGUUACUCGUCUUUAUCAGGUUUAAAGGGUACCUAUACGGUAUAUUUGGCCGAAAGGUACUAAUAUUCUAGAGUUUUAUGCGAGAGGGGGGGAGUACUGAAAGAGUGUAAAGAUGAAAUUCUGUGAUACCUUCGGAAACUGGUAAAGGCGAAGGCAACCCUUUAUUUAAAAACUGACGUUGACGGACGAAGGCUUGGGACACCAACAGGAUUAGAUACCCUAGCAGUCUAAGCAGAAAAUGAUGAAUGUCAUAUGUAAGGAUGUAUCUUUAUGUAAAAUGAAAGUGUAAGCAUUUCACCUCAAGAGUAAAGUGGCACGCAGGAACUGAAAUCAUUAGACCGUUUCUGAACCAGUAGUGAAUAUGUUGUUUAAUAGAUGUUCCACUAAGGACCUUACCUCAUUGUGAAUACUAACGUAAUUGUUAGUACAGGAGUUGCACGGCUGUCUACAGUUAAUGUCGUGAGAUUUUGGUUAGAUCCAUAAAAUUAAGUGAACCCUUGCUUUAUUUAAUUAUAUAAAGCAGUUAACCAUUACACUGGGCAAUUGUAACAGGGACUAAGACAAGUCAUCAUGGCCUCAG